GAUGUACUCCCUCCUUCCCAAAAUUCUUGUCUUAGAUUUGUCCAAAUACGGAUGUAUCAAGUCACGUUUUAGUAUUAGAUACAUCCGUAUCUGGACAAAUCUAAAACAAGAAUUUUGGAACGGAGGGAGUACUGG
rnacentral:pre_miRNA from 1 species